GUAGUCCACGCUGUAAACGAUGUCGAUUUGGAGGUUGUGGGCUUGACCCGUGGCUUCCGGAGCUAACGCGUUAAAUCGACCGCCUGGGGAGUACGGCCGCAAGGUUAAAACUCAAAUGAAUUGACGGGGGCCCGCACAAGCGGUGGAGCAUGUGGUUUAAUUCGAUGCAACGCGAAGAACCUUACCUACUCUUGACAUCCAGAGAAUUCGCUAGAGAUAGCUUAGUGCCUUCGGGAACUCUGAGACAGGUGCUGCAUGGCUGUCGUCAGCUCGUGUUGUGAAAUGUUGGGUUAAGUCCCGCAACGAGCGCAACCCUUAUCCUUUGUUGCCAGCGAGUAAUGUCGGGAACUCAAAGGAGACUGCCGGUGAUAAACCGGA
rnacentral:rRNA from 1 species